rnacentral:lncRNA from 1 species
CUCUCCCAGGAGCAAUGAGGUGCUACAAGUAACUCCUCCCUUGACCCUUCCUUGGUGUUGACUCGGUCCAGUGGAGAGCUGAGCUUUAGUCCCCACCUGGCAGCAGCAAAUGUCCCUGAAGACAUUUUAAUAUGAGCCAUGACAUUAUGAUGGAUGAAAUCUGGCAUUUUACUGUAGCAAUGCUACUCCCAUGUGGAAAAUAACAGCUUGUUCAAAAGCUGGUCUUUCAGCCAGAUUUAGAAUAUACAGCUUUCUUUAUGUCAAGGCAUCCUUUGUAUGAACAAGUUGAAGGAGAAAGAACUAAUCAGCACUGAAGACCAAAGUGCAAAGAAAUUAUUCAGUGCUCAAAUAAAUCCACCCUAGGCACAAUCACAUUGCAUCGCACAGGCAGAAGAGAGUCGUGAAUUGCAACAAGUUAAGUUGGAAUAAGCACUUGAUAUUCAGAUGCUUAUCAGAACGAUUCAGAUUUCUUAGUACAACAAGACUGAGAAUUUUUAUUUUUAUUUUUUUUUUCUGAAGUUCCUGAAACACUGUUGUAUGAGGUUUCAUAAAUAUCCUUUUCUCUUCAGUAUGAAAUAACAUCGGUCAAUAUAUUGAUUUACAGAAGAAAGAAAUGUUAACCGCUGUGAGCUGU